rnacentral:lncRNA from 1 species
AAGAAGAAAUCCAAUCAUUGACUAUUCAGGAGGCGUUCGUGGCAAGAAAUCUCCUCUCUCUCUCCUCUCUCUCUUUUCCUUCCAAGUUUCAUCCAAACCCAGUCGUCAUCUCGUAUUCAAACACAACUGCUCGUAAUUGUGUGUAUAUAUUGACACUCCUAUAUAUACACGCACAAUUAGAAAUAUUAAAUUUAAAGUAGCAAU